CAGGAGGUCCCACCGGAUUUACAGAUCACCUGCUAGAGACACAGACUGUAAAGAAGUGAGAAGGGGGCAGGGCAUAAAUGAAAGGACUUAUUUCUACAGGAACUCAUGACCAAUAAGCCCACAGAAGGAACUUAAAGGGAUGCACUCUGGUCCAUCCGACUGACACAGCCCUUGUUGUUCAGUAUAAGGUGGAGGCAACUGUUCUUGGGGAGUUGGAGGAACCCAAGUCUGUCGUCCAAAAAGAUUGUCAGAAAAUAUUCAGUCUGGCUCAGAGAGGAACUUAAUGUUAACAUCAACCUCCAGAUUCAACGCGCACACCGAGCGUUAACCCUGAAACCGACAGCGGGUCUCCCCCAAGGUCAGUCGUUGUCAAUUU